rnacentral:lncRNA from 1 species
CCUUGCCCAAAAAAGCUACUUGGAUAUUUCAUAUCUAGCAAUCCUACUAUGUUCUUCAUAUAACUUUUUAAGAUUAAGGAGUAUGGAUUGAGGAUCUAUUUUCUCAUAUUUUGCCUCUAUAGCUCAUUGCUCAUGGAGGCCAACAUAAUGCACUUAAUAGUAGUACUGUCAUUCCAUCACAUUUUAUAUGUGGCUCUGUCCUCCUCGGUACAAUCUUUCUUAAUAGAAUCAAGGCUGGGAGUAUCCAAAAUGUAGGAGAUCUUUUCUUAUGCAAAAAUAAUGUGCAAGUUCCUCAUCCAGUUCACAAAGUUCAGUCUGGUCAACUUAUUAUUAUUUAGGAUGCUUUGCAAUAAGAGUGAAGAAGUCAUAAUGAAAUUAUCUACAUAACAAGAAUAAUAUACAAUCAGACCACUAAUAAUGAUAUUCACAACAAGAUAAGGUCU